UGGGGAAUAUUGGACAAUGGGCGAAAGCCUGAUCCAGCCAUGCCGCGUGUGUGAAGAAGGUCUUCGGAUUGUAAAGCACUUUAAGUUGGGAGGAAGGGCAUUAACCUAAUACGUUAGUGUUUUGACGUUACCGACAGAAUAAGCACCGGCUAACUCUGUGCCAGCAGCCGCGGUAAUACAGAGGGUGCAAGCGUUAAUCGGAAUUACUGGGCGUAAAGCGCGCGUAGGUGGUUUGUUAAGUUGGAUGUUAAAUCCCCGGGCUCAACCUGGGAACUGCAUUCAAAACUGACUGACUAGAGUAUGGUAGAGGGUGGUGGAAUUUCCUGUGUAGCGGUGAAAUGCGUAGAUAUAGGAAGGAACACCAGUGGCGAAGGCGACCACCUGGACUAAUACUGACACUGAGGUGCGAAAGCGUGGGGAGCAAACA
rnacentral:rRNA from 1 species